rnacentral:lncRNA from 1 species
AUGACCCUGACUGCCCCACUGGAGACCGCCGUCCCGGAAGUGGUAGAGACCUGCGAGGUCAUCUCCCCUCCUCGCCCCUGCACCUGUCUCCUCCCUGCCUCCUCCCUGCCUCAGGCAGGCACAUGCAUGCACACUCCUGCUCUCUCACAUGCACACUCACACACAUUCUCUCACUCUCUCCUAAACACUCACACGCACUCUCAAUGCUUCUCACAUGCACUCUCUUCUCUCCUUCUCUCUCUUCAUGUGUGCGUGCACGCACACGCACACACACACAUCCUGCCCUCCUGCUCCCCUCGGCUGGCUGAGCCUCCAUCACCUCCGUCCUGUCCCUGGCUUGGCUGUGCCCGCAGGUCCCUGCGCUGCCAGUUGCAGGCGGAGCAAGGUCCGCGCUCCCGCGGCCGGCUGAGCACGAAUGAGGGGGCCCUGCCCUGGACCGUGGAGCGUGAGCAGGCACUUGGCCCCGAGAGCAGGAAGAGCAGCUUCCUAGGCAGAGAAAGCCGCAUGUGGAGAAGCACCAGGUGUGAGAGGCAGAGCGCACCCAGGGAAGGCGGACGGCGUCUGGCUGGCUCAGACGUCCCCCUGCUCUCACAGGGCCUCCCCAGGCCUGCUUCUCCUUUAGCACUCCCUGUCUCAGGGGUGCCCCACUGCCCAGUGCACAGCCCGCACCCCAGCACCUGCCAACUCACUCGUCACCAAAUCCUCCUCAGUGUAGCCCGACUCGGCCCACUUCUCUGCCCCUGCUUUGCAGCCGCCACCCUCCUUCCAGCACCCUCCAUCUCCUCCUGGACACCGUCACAGCCCCCGACAGUUCCCCCACCCACUGGGGUGCACCCCCUCUGUCCUGUUCUCACGGGGCAGCCAGCGUGGCCUUCCUUUCUGCAUGUCGGCUCCCUGCUUAGCACAGCUCCCAGGGCUCAGCUCACACCCUUCCCCCGACAAAGACUCCCGCCCCAGACCAGUCAGAGCCCCGGGGUCACGCUUCGUGACACACUGUUCUUUUCUUCCCUGACCCUCAGCAAAGUUUGCACUCCACACGUGUGUCUGUGA